rnacentral:rRNA from 1 species
GAUGAACGCUGGCGGCGUGCCUAAUACAUGCAAGUCGAGCGAACGGACGAGAAGCUUGCUUCUCUGAUGUUAGCGGCGGACGGGUGAGUAACACGUGGAUAACCUACCUAUAAGACUGGGAUAACUUCGGGAAACCGUAGCUAAUACCGGAUAAUAUUUUGAACCGCAUGGUUCAAAAGUGAAAGACGGUCUUGCUGUCACUUAUAGAUGGAUCCGCGCUGCAUUAGCUAGUUGGUAAGGUAACGGCUUACCAAGGCAACGAUGCAUAGCCGACCUGAGAGGGUGAUCGGCCACACUGGAACUAAAGCACGGUCCAUACUCCUACGGGAGGCAGCAGUAGGGAAUCUUCCGCAAUGGGCGAAAGCCUGACGGAGCAACGCCGCGUGAGUGAUGAAGGUCUUCGGAUCGUAAAACUCUGUUAUUAGGGAAGAACAUAUGUGUAAGUAACUGUGCACAUCUUGACGGUACCUAAUCAGAAAGCCACGGCUAACUACGUG